GGACGAACGCUGGCGGCGUGCUUAACACAUGCAAGUCGAGCGGUAAGGCCCUUUCGGGGGUACACGAGCGGCGAACGGGUGAGUAACACGUGGGUGACCUGCCUUUAGCUCUGGGAUAAGCCUGGGAAACUGGGUCUAAUACCGGAUACGACUCCGCGGUGCAUGCUGUGGGGUGGAAAGCCUUGUGCGGCUGGAGAUGGGCCCGCGGCCUAUCAGCUUGUUGGUGGGGUGAUGGCCUACCAAGGCGACGACGGGUAGCCGGCCUGAGAGGGCGACCGGCCACACUGGGACUGAGAUACGGCCCAGACUCCUACGGGAGGCAGCAGUGGGGAAUCUUGCGCAAUGGGCGAAAGCCUGACGCAGCGACGCCGCGUGAGGGAUGACGGCCU
rnacentral:rRNA from 1 species